rnacentral:rRNA from 1 species
UUGAAGUAAAAUUGUGUGAUACAGGUUCCGUAGGUGAACUGCGGAAGGAUCAUUG